UCUUCAUCUUUAUACCAUUACUCGCCUUCAAGGGCACGAUCGUUAUCUUAUUGACUUCCUACCACUACAGCAACGCACCUGCUUCUCUCACAAAAGUUACGGGUGGGAACUGGAAAGAUUCACCAGCAUUCUGUAUUUCACUCCUCAUCUCAAUUCUCUUUUGGCCUGCGAAGCUUUUCAGAUCAGAGAUGAAGAUCAGGUGUAAUCUGGAGUUUGGGAUACGGCAAAGGAAAAGAAGAAUCAUCCUGAGAACUCUUUUCAACCUCACUUGCAAGCGCCAAAGUCAAGAAUACCAAAAGGAAAAAGGAUGCCACUUGAUCAUGUAAGGUUUCUUAGAGAGAUAAGAUUGAAGUGAUCGUAUUGCAUGCCCAUCCAUCCCUCCCCUUUGCUUGUCCAGAGCUUUUACCUCGUCUACCACGAUGCAUGAACUUGGUCAUAGGCACAGUUGUUUCAAAGACAUUCUGCUGCUAGACCUGUUGUGAAAACAGAGAGCUAAGUAUUUGGACGAGAACAUGCUUCCACCUGCACUAUGACCUCCACAACUAGAUGUGGAGCCAUAUCAGCCAGAAGGAAGUUUCCUUCACAGCUGCUGCUUCUUACACUAUCUGGACUCUUACUUUUACUCUUACUUGCCUUUCCUGCAUUAGCA